rnacentral:rRNA from 1 species
GAGUUUGAUCGUGGCUCAGGAUGAACGCUGGCGGCGUGCCUAAUACAUGCAAGUCGAACGCGAGCAGCAAUGCUCGAGUGGCGAACGGGUGAGUAAUACAUAAGUAACCUGCCCUAGACAGGGGGAUAACUGCUGGAAACGGCAGCUAAGACCGCAUAGGUAUGGACACUGCAUGGUGACCAUAUUAAAAGUGCCAAGGCACUGGUAGAGGAUGGACUUAUGGCGCAUUAGCUGGUUGGUGAGGUAACGGCUCACCAAGGCGACGAUGCGUAGCCGACCUGAGAGGGUGACCGGCCACACUGGGACUGAGACACGGCCCAGACUCCUACGGGAGGCAGCAGUAGGGAAUUUUCGGCAAUGGGGGGAACCCUGACCCGAGCAACGCCGCGUGA